UUCGAGGAUGAACCCUAAACUCAUACAGCACAGCCGAUAGAUAUAUAAAACCCAGAUCGGGACCUCCUUCCUCGUAAUUCUCUGAAAUUAGUCCAUACAAAUCGCAUUCCUGUACCUCUAGAUCAACUAGGACCUGACAGGCGCCAGCCAGGAGGUUCACGACGCAGCCCAGCAGCCCGCGAACUCGGCCUCCAACUGCAGCAACCGUGCCCCCGAGGAGACGAUCCCCGGGUGCGACUAUGAGUAUGAGCACUGGAUGGUCAUCAUGGAGGGCCCCCCAGGAGACGCCAGCAACCCCGACAUCCACCGUAACGAGAUCAUCGACGGCUACAUCAAGACCCUCGCUCAGGUCGUCGGAAUGUAUGCUGCCCCCUCACCUCACCCUUGAUGGUGAAGACAAAGCAAGGAUGAAGAUCUACUCUGUGUCAACUAGGCAUUAUUUUUCUUUUGGUGCCCUAUACUAUCUGACGAACUCGCCGGCAAACUCAGAGAGUUGCCUAAGGUCCGUUGGGUUCUUCCUGGUUCAUACGUGGAUGUAAGAAAUAAGGACUAUGGAGGAGAACCAUUUAUAGAUGGACAAGCUGUUCCUUACGACCCCAAAUACCAUGAGGUGUGGGUGAGAUACAGUAAAAUUGGCAUCUAGUGUCCUCAUAGGCGUCCCAACUUUAACACACAGUCCUACCGGAGCGCGCCUGAUCCACCAAGCUACCAAUGCAGCGGUAACUAAAACAACGCCGCCCCACCUGCUUACGAAGGCAGGGACAGGCCAGGGAGGCAUUACCAAUAGAGAACAAUGCUAGAAGAUUGCCGGUAGGAAAGUUAGUACGGGUUUUUUUGCAUAUAUUCUCUAUCCAUACCAGUGUUCUGAGAAAUAGAAUUACUAAAGCUU